rnacentral:rRNA from 1 species
GACGAACGCUGGCGGCGUGCUUAACACAUGCAAGUCGAACGGAAAGGCCCAGCUUUUGUGGGGUGCCCGAGUCGCGAACGGGUGAGUAACCCGUGAGUCACCUGCCCUGGACUUUGGGAUAACUUCAGGAAACUGGGGCUAAUACAGGCUAGGAGCUCCUGCUGCAUGGUGGGGGUUGGAAAGUUUCGGCGGUGGGGGAUGGACUCGCGGCUUAUCAGCUUGUGGGUGGGGUAGUGGCUUACCAGGGCAUUGACGGGUAGCCGGCCUGAGAGCGUAACCGGGCACAUGGCGACUGCGAGACGGCGCAGUCUCGUAUGGUAGGCAGCGGUGGGGAAUAUUAUACAGUGGUGGGACGUCUGUUAAGACAACGCUGCGAGCGGGAUGACGGCUAUGGGGUGGUGAAGCGCUGUAAGUUGUGACGAAGCGUUAGUGACGGUAAUGAGUGAAGAAGCACCGGCUAACUACGUG